rnacentral:lncRNA from 1 species
UCCUUCAGUUUUCACAUUUCAUAACAUCUUCUUCUCCACUUCGCAUCUUCUUCCCCCCUUCACAUCUUCUCCACUUCACAUCCUUCGAUUUUCACACUUCACAACAUCUUCUCCAUUCCACAUCUUUUCCUCCCCUUCGCACUUUCAGAAAUUGAUUGUAUCUUCUCCACCCCACUUCUCUAUUUAUACUUAUUCUUCACCAUUCAAUAUUGAGUGUGUGACACAUUACCCUUCAUUUUUUUUGGCCCCUCAAUGUUAAGUUCUCUUCUCCUACAAUCUUGAAUUCUC